rnacentral:misc_RNA from 1 species
UCUCCGUUGGUGAACCAGCGGAGGGAUCAUUACAUAGUUCCACAACUCCCAACCCCUUCGAGCCGUACCCCAUUUUGUUCUCGUUUCCUCCUGGCCGCUGGCCCCCGCCGCCGCCGCCGGGACCCCCGCCAGCGGCGGCGAGCACCCUGAACCUUUUUUUCUCAACAAUCCCAUCUGAGCACAAAAAAAAAUGAAGCAAAACUUUCAACGACGGAUCUAGUAGUUCGGGCGUCGAUGCAGAACGCAGCAGGUCAGAAGACCACACGUCGUAACCCCAUU